rnacentral:lncRNA from 1 species
GUGUGGAGAGUGGCUGUGAAAGCGACACGGGCUCUGUGGGAAGAGAAGUAAGGAGGACUUCUGGGAAGGAAACGAGGUUCUCGGAUGAGCAGGGGCUGUGAUAUGAAAGUGAUCAAGAGUAUUUGUCUUCACUUUCAAAGAGCGUAAAGUGAAAGAAAGGAGGAAGUCCACACCCUUGGGUUUGGGGGCAUCGGAUCCAGUGUGCAAUGUGAGAAGUAAAAUGAAGAGGAGAAAUGAUCUAGAGAGACUUUCUGAUGAAGCAAACACCAGAUAUCCUAGAAUUUCAGCAAAUCUAAGACUCCGUCAAGUGUUAGAUGCC